rnacentral:rRNA from 1 species
AGUGAACGCUGGCGGCGUGCCUAAUACAUGCAAGUCGAACGAUGAAGUCCUAGCUUGCUAGGAUGGAUUAGUGGCGCACGGGUGAGUAAUAUAUAGUUAAUCUGCCCUACACAGAGGAACAACAGCUGGAAACGACUGCUAAUACCUCAUACUCCUAUUUGCCAUAAGUUAAAUAGGGAAAGUCUUUUCGGUGUAGGAUGAGACUAUAUCGUAUCAGCUAGUUGGUAAGGUAAUGGCUUACCAAGGCUAUGACGCGUAACUGGUCUGAGAGGAUGAUCAGUCACAUGGGAACGGAGACACGGACCAAACUACUACGGGAGGCAGCAGGAAGGAAUAUUGCGCAAUGGGGGAAACCCUGAAGCAGCAACGCCGCGGGGAGGAUGACACUUGGCGGAGAGUAAACUUCUUUUAUCAGGAAAGAAUAAUGACGGUACAUGAUGAAUAAGCACCGGCUAAAUCCGUG